GCCAUGCAUCCAGAGUAGGAGCUAGCUCCUCGCCAACCUGCAACUCCAAAGCAAGGUGGCCAAAUGAUGCGGCAAUCGCAACCAAUUGGAGAACA
rnacentral:ncRNA from 1 species